rnacentral:rRNA from 1 species
GACGAACGCUGGCGGCGUGCUUAACACAUGCAAGUCGAACGGAAAGGCCCUUCUUUUGUGGGGUUCUCGAGUGGCUAACGGGUGAGUAACACGUGAGUAACCUGCCCUUUACUUUGGGAUAACUUCAGGUAACUGGGGCUAAUACCGGAUAGUAGCUCCUGCUGCCUGGUGGGGGUUGGAUAGUUUCGUCGGUUGGGGAUGGACUCGCGGCUUAUCAGCUUGUUGGUGGGGUAGUGGCUUACCAAUGCUUUGACGGGUAGCCGGCCUGAGAGGGUGACCGGCGACAAGGGGACUGAGAGACGGCGCAGACUCAUACGGGAGGCAGCAGUGGGGAAUAUUGCACAAUGGGCGGAAGCCUGAUGCAGAAACGCCGCGUGCGGGAUGAAGGCCUUCGGGUUGUAAACCGCGUUAGCCUGUGACGAAGCGUGAGUGACGGUAAUGGGUAAAGAAGCACCGGCUAACUACGUG